AGCUUUGUGUAGUGGCAGUAUCAUAGCCAAUGAGGUUUAACUGAGGUGUGGUUAUUGCUAAUUGCUGAAGCUGAAGCUGAAGCUUGAUGAAAGCAGAGGAGCUGUGUUCCCACUAGGGAAGAGCUGCCGGCUUAUUUUUUGCUGGGGGUUUUGCACAUGCUC
rnacentral:snRNA from 1 species